UGUGUGGUGGUAAACGGAGGAGCCCCUCGAAGUUGGGCCUCGAGGUUCAAGCUGAUUGACUGGCGCUUCCUUCUUUGAUUUCCGGUUCAGCAAUGACUCGGGUUAAAGUUUGGUUGGCGUUCAACCGGUUGCAUUUCUCGAGGCUUUUCACGCCACGAACUACUAUUGGGGCGACUGUCAGCGCGGGUGAAGUUCUAUUUUUUUGAGAGUGAUUUUUUUCAUUUUCAAAGGGUGGAACACCUUCGCGUUUGUAGCUCGGCCUAUAGUGGGUAUUUGAAAGCAAACUCGUAUAGCGAGUGUCUUUGCUGACACGGUUUGCAUUUCUGUGGCGAGUAGGUCGGUGGCUUCUCCGACCCGUCUUGAAACACGGACC
rnacentral:rRNA from 1 species